UGAAAUGCUUGUGUUCCUAGCUCCAACAGUGCAGAAUUAUCUAACGUGCAGCAGGUCAUCACACAACACGUCAUCAUGAAACAUACAUCAUCAGAGCGCGCAACAGAACAUUGUACUAUCUACACUCGGUUUGUUGUUUAUAUUAAAUACAUUUUUCAUGAAAUCGAUUUUAUUCAGAACUAAAGUUUUGUUGCAAAGGAUUCCACGCCGCGGUUAGCCUUUACGGCUGGGACUGCAAGUUUGUGUUCGAUUUUUUGCAUGGAUUCUGCGAGUGCUAGCUGGCUGUACUACAGACACCUUUCGUCAUCAUGGGAAAGACUCAUUGCUAUCUUUUCGAGUAGCAACAGCUUUACGCUAUGGAGGAACAACAUACUCCGUCAUGGAAAGAUCCGACCACCUCACAAAAGAACUUUAACCCGACAAAAAAAAAGAAAAAUAGAUUUAGCUACAAACACGGACAAUUUACUUACCGUUGAAGUAGAGGCUAGUGCUCUAGCUGGAAUCCAUGCAGCACUGGAAAAGUUGUGUGUGGAGGUAGCAGGGCUGAGGGGGAGUUUGGAGUUCAGCUAGAGUGAAAUUCUUACCCUCCAAGCAGAAAACAAGACACUCAACAGCUAAGGUAUACAGACAAGGAGGCAUACAAAGGUAUGUCAAUUGGUAUUGGUAUGUAUGCACAUCAUACUUACCAUCCUCUCUUUCCUCGUCAAUGAAUAUCCCAUAGGCCUCUACAUUAUGGACCAGAGACUUCACCCUCCCUAAACCUCUAGUAAAUAUAACAGGAAACCUGUUCGAUCACCAUGCACUGCAAAAUCAUUCUGUCUAUGGAUACGGAGAACAUCAACACAUUAACAUCAACACACCAGAAGAUAAACCCAUUGGACUUGGGGCUCUGCUGGGAGUUUACCUUAUAUUUAGAAUAGUUUAUUCUGCUUUGCCACUAAAAUCAUA